rnacentral:rRNA from 1 species
UACAGAGGUCCCGAGCGUUGUUCGGAUUCACUGGGCGUAAAGGGUGCGUAGGUGGCGAGGUAAGUCGGAUGUGAAAUCUUGGAGCUUAACUCCGAAACUGCAUUCGAUACUGCCGUGCUUGAGGACUGGAGAGGAGACUGGAAUUUACGGUGUAGCGGUGAAAUGCGUAGAUAUCGUAAGGAAGACCAGUGGCGAAGGCGGGUCUCUGGACAGUUCCUGACGCUGAGGCACGAAGGUCAGGGGAGCAAACGGG